rnacentral:rRNA from 1 species
GAAACUCAAAGGAAUUGACGGGGGCCCGCACAAGCGGUGGAGCAUGUGGUUCAAUUCGACGCAACGCGAAGAACUUUACCUGGGCUCGAAAUGCAGUGCACCGGGGUGGAAACAUCCCUUCCCGCAAGGGGUGCUGCAUAGGUGCUGCAUGGCUGUCGUCAGCUCGUGUCGUGAGAUGUUGGGUUAAGUCCCGCAACGAGCGCAACCCUUAUUGCCAGUUGCCAUCAGGUUAUGCUGGGAACUCUGGCGAAACUGCCCCGGAUAACGGGGAGGAAGGUGGGGAUGACGUCAAGUCCUCAUGGCCUUUAUGUCCAGGGCCACACACGUGCUACAAUGGCCGGUACAAACCGUCGCAAACCUGCGAAGGGGAGCUAAUUGGAAAAAGCCGGCCUCAGUCCGGAUUGAAGUCUGCAACUCGACUUCAUGAAGCUGGAAUCGCUAGUAAUCGCGGAUCAGAACGCCGCGGUGAAUACGUUCCCGGGCCUUGUACACACCGCCCGUCACAUCACGAAAGUGGGCUGUACUAGAAGCCGGUGCGCUAACCGCAAGGGAGCAGCCGUCCAAGGUAUAACUCAUGAUUGGGGUGAAGUCGUAACAAGGUAGC